rnacentral:lncRNA from 1 species
AGGUCUAUCCCCAGAAGCCACAGUGUUGAGAUUCCUCGUCUACACUCCCUCUGAUUUCUCUUUAAGAAAGAGAGCAGGUAUCUGUAACACUUGCUGGGGCAGGAAGACCAUGGAGCCUUGAGGAGAAGAAAACCAAGGCAACCAAAGCAAAAAAAGUUGGCUCUGUUUUCAGAGAAGCCUGAGAAUAAAAGUGUGACUGUAAAGCAAACAAACAAACCAAAGCUGGAAGCCGCAGUCCCACACUCGGCUGGAAUGGAGGAUUCCUCCUGCACGCUAACUUCUCAGCAACUGACUUUGGAUGGAAGUCCUGGCUGGGGAAGUGAUUCCAUCGUGGUGUUCCUUUCAACUCCAACUGACCACUUCCCAUCCCUUUAGCUGUGAGGAAGAACCAAACGUUCCCUAGCUCAACAUUUUCAGAAGGGCAUGUUCCAGUCUCCUCCUAAAACAGACUCGAGAAACAGGCCAAGUAGCAGCCUUGGCUUAACCAGCAUAGGCUCACACAAGGACAGGAAAUUCAUCUGGGCUGCUGACAUUCUGAAUAGCUGCCACCUUCGAUGCCAGGAGAGGAGGACAUCGGCAGUGUCGUUAAAUGAAAUGGAUGGUAAUUACAGAGGAGUGAGCUUCGGAAGCUCCUAAAUCUUCUCUGAGGAUGCUGCUGUCACUACUGGUUCUGGGUCUACAGAUGUCUAUAGCACCUCUGCUCUGCUUCUCGCCCAGCUUGGUGUAGAAUACAGAUGGUAUUGUGGAUGCUGGGAAGUGCUUGCUAAUGGAAACUUGAUAUGGCUGCCUCCUGAGAGAAUCUGCCAGAGCCUGACAAAUACAGAGGUGGAAGCUUGCAGCCAACCAUUGGACUGAGCGUAGGGUUCCCCGAUGGAGGAGUUGAAGAAGGGACUGAAGGAGCUGAGGGGGUUUGCAGUCACAUGGAGGGAGCAACAGUGUCAACCGGCCAGACCUGCCCCAUCCCCCCAGACCCCGGGACUGGACCACCAAACAAAGAAUACACAUGGAGGGACCCAUGGAGCUGGCUGCAUGUGUGGCAGAGAAUGGCUUUGUUGGACAUCAAUGGGAAGAGGGGUCCUAAGGGUGUAGAGGAAUGCCAGUGCAGGAAGCUAGGAGUAGGUGGGUGGGUGGGGGAGCAUCCUCAUAGAGGUAGGGGGAGGAGAGAUGGGAUGGGGGUUUCAGAAGGGAGGCCUGGAAAGGGGAAAACAUUUGAAAUGUAAAUAAAGAAAAUAUCCAUUUUUUUUAAAAGGUGA